UGCGCUAUCAGAUGAGCCUAGGUCGGAUUAGCUAGUUGGUGAGGUAAUGGCUCACCAAGGCUACGAUCCGUAACUGGUCUGAGAGGAUGAUCAGUCACACUGGAACUGAGACACGGUCCAGACUCCUACGGGAGGCAGCAGUGGGGAAUAUUGGACAAUGGGCGAAAGCCUGAUCCAGACAGUGCCGCGUGUGUGAAGAAGGUCUUCGGAUGUAAAGUAAUUGAGUGGGAGGAAGGGCAUUACUAAUACGUUAGU
rnacentral:rRNA from 1 species